rnacentral:rRNA from 1 species
CUGAGGUGGCGACCGGCGCACGGGUGAGUAACACGUAUGCAACCUGCCUGUAAGCGGGGAAGUAACCCGUUUCGAAAGAACGGACGUAAUAACCGCAUAAUACUAAAUUACUGCAUGGUAAUUUAUUUAAACAUUUAUGGCUUACAGAUGGGCAUGCGCAUGAUUAGCUAGUUGGAGAGGUAACGGCUCCCCAAGGCAACGAUCAUUAGGGGUUCUGAGAGGAAGGUCCCCCACACUGGUACUGAGACACGGACCAGACUCCUACGGGAGGCAGCAGUAGGGAAUCUUCCGCAAUGGACGAAAGUCUGGCGGAGCAACGCCGCGUGAGUGAAGAAGGGUUUUUUCCGGAUCGUAAAACUCUGUUGUCAGAGAAGAACAAGUUGGAGAGUAACUGCUCCAGCCUUGACGGUAUCUGACCAGAAAGCCACGGCUAACUAUGUGCCAGCAGCCGC